UCCGUUAUGGUGUAGUGGCUAGCAUCGGCCGCUCUCAAGCAGAGCUUUAAACCGGCCAGACCGGGGUUCAAUUCCCCGUAACGGAA
rnacentral:tRNA from 1 species